GCGAAGGCACAUGGCUGGAAAACAAAACUGCGCAUGCGUUUACUUAACACUUCUUCAAGCUUGUAUUGUCUGGAUAAAGUGUGUUUUUGAGCGUUUUUACUCGUUUUGGAUUAAUACUGGACGACGAAUUGUAGCUUCGGGAACCUGUAAGCAGACCUGAUGAGCAAUGUGUAACAGCCAGGUUAGCGGUCAUGGGGAAAUGUGGUGAUGUUGUCAGUGAGGAGCAGACCGGAAGAGCUGGGAGAAGAAGCGCCAGGAAAACACAAUGACCCUCGGUCUUACGCCUUCUUUAUUUUUCCGACCUGCCUUCAAGUAAAGUAAUACUAAUAUGACCUAGAAUGAUAAAUGGUGCUGCGAAUCUACCUACAGCACGUUUUCACUGAAUAGUGUAUUAUUGUUGACAGGACAAGAGGAAGAAAAUAGCUCCAAUAAACCUGAAUGUGAAUGGAUCUAAUUCACCCGAUUCACCCGGCAGUGUGUUUAGUAUUGUAUCGUAUAUGGUGUUUUAUUGGUGUCUUAGUGUUUUCUGGAGUAUUCUGCUGUGUUUGGAGUAGCCCAUGAUCACAUUUGCCAAACUGGAAACUAGCUCCGGUUUGGCAGAGAGAGGAUCUAGCAGCCUGAUCAGCGCGCACUGGGAUCCAAUGGCUGCAUUUCUUCAAAGGGCCCUGGUCUGUGCUGAUGUGAUCCACUGGGAAACACUGGGUUUUCGAUGCCUUAAUAUUCAACCGAAUAAACACGUUCCAGUCCAGUUGAGGAUAAUAUCAGCUCCAUUGUAACACUGUUUCAAGGAACAUUCCCAUUAAACACUUUGAAACAAAAAGAACCUGAAAGUUUUGUAUAUAAGUGUCAGCUUAAGGCUGUUUUUUAUGGAAUAGUUGAUGGAAUGCUAUCUGUUAACUGUUGCCUGUACAUCACUUACAUUUUUACAUGUCCUAAGCUUGAUCUGUGUACAACCAUAGUCACAAUAAAACUCUUUUCUCAUU